UAGCACCACACAGCAGGGUUGCAUGGCUUCCCAAAAAGACAGAAGAAUUAUCUAAGACUAUAGAUAGAUUAUAGAUAGAUAGACUAAAAAGGUAUAAUGAAUGAAAUGAAAAAGGGAAAAUUUAGGUUGAGUUGUCAGAAAAAACUUCCUGAUGGUGAGAGCUGUCAGUUUAAGGAAUAGUCUCCAAGGAAAGUACAUAUGCUCUGUAAUUUAGGAUACUGGAACUAGACUGAACAAGACACUGAGUGUAUUUUAGAUAGAUAGAAUUGUAGGGAAUAAUCUAUCUAUCUAUCUAUCUAUCUAUCAAUGGCAGUGGGAUAGACAAGGUGAUGAAAGAGGUCUGUUCUUUGUGAGGCAGGGGACAAUAUUU